ensembl:misc_RNA Metazoa_SRP Metazoan signal recognition particle RNA
GCCAGACACGGUGGGCGUGUCUGUAGUCCCAGCUAUUCAGGAGGCUGAGGCUGGAGGAUCUCUUGAGUCCAGGAGUUCUGGACUGUAGUGCACUAUGCCGAUCGGGUGUCUGCACUAAGUUCGGCAUCAAUAUGGUGACCUCCCGGAAGCGGGGUACCACCAGGUUGCCUAAGGAGGGGUGAAUCGGCCCAGGUCAGAAACAGAGCAGGUCAGAAUUAUAAAACUAAAAAGAAUAUUCAUUUUAAUUAACUGCCACUGUUAACUGUUCAUGGAUUAAGAGACUUUAU